rnacentral:rRNA from 1 species
AUACGUAGGUGGCGAGCGUUAUUCGGAUUUACUGGGCGUAAAGGGUCCGCAGGGGGUCAUCUAAGUCUGGUGUGAAAGCCAGCGGCUUAACCGCUGAACUGUAUUAGAUACUGGAUGACUAGAGUACAGAAGAGGAGAGUGGAAUUUUUGGUGUAGCGGUGGAAUGCGUAGAUAUCAAAAGGAACGCCAAGGGCGAAGGCAACUCUCUGGAAUGUUACUGACCCUCAGGGACGAAAGCUAGGGGAGCAAACAGGAUUAGAAACCCCAGUAGUCC